rnacentral:lncRNA from 1 species
UAAUUAAGAGGAAGAGAAUUGCCUGAUUAAUUAACAAAAAAUUGGGCGACAAUCAAUACAUAUAUACCACAUGCGGACUACAGAUUAAAAAAGAAACUCCAUACUCCCACAAUCAACUCAACAGACAAACAUAAUGCACAAGAACCAUGACCCCUCGCACUUCUAAGUCCUAAUGAAGCCCCCAACAAAACCAAGCUUGAAUACAACAGGCGCCACCACAUCCACGAAGGCGAGCCAAUCGAAGAUGGUGGUUGAAGAGACUGAAUAUCAUCCAUUAAGAAGCCGGAGACGCCUUACCAGUGGCUCCCCUCUUCUUGCCUAUGUUCCUGAGAGCCUUCUUCACCUUCUUGAUUUUUCUCGUAGAAGCCUCCUUAGUUAGGAGGUAGGCAUUCGCCUUGCCAAACCCAGGGCUAGCUGCCUCCAAACUAUUGAACAAGCAACAAAGAUUUUUCGUGAAGGCCUCAUGAAUAUUUUAGGAUCGAAAGUAUGUCUAGAGGGGGGGGGGGGGGAUUAGACUACUUGACCAGAUAAAAACUUAGCCUUUUCCCAAUUUUUAGUGUGGGCCAGUUUUAGCAACUAUGACUAGUCAAGUACACCCUACAUAUGCAUAUCCAAGAGUAUUGCAGCGGAAAGUAAAACAUGCAAGUGUUAAUAAAGGGUGAGGUAUGGAGAUCAAGCGUAAUGGUUGACAUGGCGAUUUUUGGCAUGGUUCUGACAGGUGACGCUAUCAUACGUCCAUGUUAGUGGAGAUUUCAACCCAUGGAGGGUAACGGCUACGAGAGUCCACAGAGGGCUCCACCCACAAGGGGUCCAUGAAGAAGUGGCCUUGUCUAUUCCACCACGGUUUCCGUACACAAAGAAAUAGCCUCACUCUAGGUAGAUCUUCACGAAGUAGGCAAUCUCCUUAUGCUUACAAACAUCUUGGUUCAACUCCACAACACGAAGUACGAGGCUCCCAAGCGACACAUAACCAAUGUAGGAGGCACCACCCUCCAAAAGGUAAUAGAUGUGGUAGAACGAUGAACUCCUUGCUCUUGUGCUUCUAAAGAUAGUCUCCUCAACACUCAAUCACUCUCUCUCAGAUUUGGCAGGGGUAGGAGAGAUUUAUCUUGUGGAAAGCAACUUGGGGAGGCUAGAAAUCAAGGUUCAAAUGGUUGGAAUGGAAUCUCUUGAUCUCAACAUAUGAGUAGGUGGCUCUCUCUCACAAAAAUGGAUGUGCAAAGUGUAAGUGUGUUCUGAGUGCUUCCUCUACGAGUGAGAGGUAGGUGGAGGGGUAUAUAUAGGUAUCCCCCAAAAUCCAACUGUUACAACAUUAUUGCCCAACUCGGUGACAUCAAAAUGUUAAUAUCGAUGGUACCGAGUUGCACUAAAUGUGGAAACUUUGACUUCUCGAUGAGACCGAUAUAGGGAUCUCGGUGGUACUGAUACGAUGACCUAGGCUGGUUCCCAAACUCGGUGAGACUGACUUCAAACUCGGAAAUUCCAAAAAUUGAAGUUACCUCAACAGAAUAUUGGUCACCCAAUCUCGGUGGCACCGAUACAAAUUGUGGUUGUGCCGAGAUGGUGGGAUUGGCAUAGGAUAUGUCCAAGUGUAAAAUAUAGCUGAGUGGAAAAUGUUGGUGGCACCAAUUUGUAUAUUUGGCUUGGGACAGAUCUAUUUUGUGGGAAAGUGCUUGAGUAUUUUUGGUGGCUAUCUCUAAGCACUUGAGAAACCAAUUCAUCAUAAUAGCUCAUCCCCUUUUAAUAGUAUUCACUUUCCUAUGGACUGAAAGUGAUUUCUCACAAAGUGUAAAAUGAAGAGUCUUCUUGCUUGAAGCUUUAUCCAAUCCUAUUCCUUCCUUGCAUCGAAGGGGCAUCUCCACACAAUCCUAUAGACAAAGCAUCUUUAAACUUUUCUGAAAUGCACUUGGAUAAAUUCAUUAGUCCAAUGAUGCAUAUGUUGUAAUUAAUUACCAAAACCACCUUAGGGAUCAAUUGUGCUUAGAAAUAUGCACGAACAUACUUUCACGGUAAAAGACGACGAAUCGGAUAGUCUUCGAUGCAUCCGAAUCCGGUGCCAAAACACCUACCUCAUCAACCUCGACACCCAUGAAUGCCACCGGGCCAACAACCAUAGGUGUGACAACCAUAGCAGCAUCCAAACCCCCACGGUCCACAAAGGUGAUCGGCUGACCGGUCUCCAACAACGAUGAUAAGGUAUCAAUCGGCAUCAAGAAGCCCCCUCCAAGUGACCCCAUCUACUCAGUAAGCACCAUCGAAAUGGGCAAAGUGGGCUCCCCACAAAGCUUCAACAACUCAGGCAUAAUCUAGAACACCAUAGCCACAACCUCAACAAUGGUUUCAUUCCCAGAAGCAAUCGACAUGACAGGCAGUGACGACGAGCAUGAUGUAGCACGAGGGGAGAGAUCUUCAUACAUGUUUGCUUCUGCAUCAACAUAACCAACUUGGAUCUCGGGCAGCAGGGAUACAACAGGCACAACCUCGUGCUUGGCAAGAGCGACCUCUACACUUGCCAAAACACUACCAAUUCGUGUAAUGAAGUCGCAAAGCUCGGAUCGGAGUAGCUCAGUGUGCUCCAUGAGGACGGGCUGCAAUGCCACAUCACCCCGUGUUGCAUCGACAUUUGAUGCAUGCACUAGGAUGGAUGGUGGAGCAACAGGUCAUGUUGUGGUAGUCCGGUCGGUGUGAUGUUGUGCAUGAUGGAAACAUGCUUCGUGACCAAAACCGGAGGCAUCCCAAGCACCAGAAUGGAUCCCUGCGUUCAUGAGCAUGAUGACCCUUCGAGAGGCAUGGAAAACAACAGUUUCUUGGCCACAAUGGGGGAGCUGGCUAGGUGAUGGAUGUAUGGCCAUGGAAGGGCACAAGAGGAGACGAACAACGCCCCGAUAGAAGGUGCCAUCCAUCCAAAAGAUCCCUAGGAGGCGCGGACAUACCAUAGAUGGGAACACAAUUCGUUGCAACCCGAACAAGAAGCCACGCCAAUAACCCCAGCCGGAACAUGUGGGAGGCGCGCCGCCCCCUUGGACAGUCACGUGGCAGCAAUCGUGACGUCCAAGUAGAGAUGGCCGAUGCCAGAGGAACCAACAACUUGCUCGGAGCAUAGGUCGCCGGGGUCGCGGCAGCAAGAUCCGACUCGUGUUGGACGGGAUGUAGGGGACCUACGUGGUUCAACGCUAAGAUGUGAAUCAGUUGGUCGUUGGAGGUACCCGAGGUUACAUGUAGUGGUGUCGAAGUCGUCGCCGCCACAUGCAGCGUUCCAGUGGCAGCCUCGACCGCCAUAUCAGGACCUGGCAGGGGCGGACGCGGUGGCAAGCGUCCAGUGGAGGCCCCGUCCAGAGGAGCGGGGUGGCGGGGUGUAAGAUGGCUCUAUGGCGGGCUCAGCCCGAUGAGGGGCCCAUCGGCCACCCACACAGGUGUCGGACCUGCGGAGAGCAAAUACUGCGGCAGAAG